rnacentral:rRNA from 1 species
GCCACAGCUACUAAAUUAUGAUUUAAACUUAAUAGUAUUGUAGCCUAUAAUAAAGCUCUAGAUAAGAGCU